rnacentral:tRNA from 1 species
CCUCCAGUAGCUCAGCGGUAAAGCAGGGAGGAAAGAUGACUGACACUCCCCGUCGCUGGUUCGAUUCCAGCCUGGAGGU